rnacentral:rRNA from 1 species
UACGGGGGGGCAAGCGUUGUUCGGAAUUACUGGGCGUAAAGGGCUCGUAGGCGGCCAACUAAGUCAGACGUGAAAUCCCUCGGCUUAACCGGGGAACGGCGUCUGAUACUGGAUGGCUUGAAUCCGGGAGAGGGAUGCGGAAUUCCAGGUGUAGCGGUGAAAUGCGUAGAUAUCGGGAGGAACACCUGUGGCGAAAGCGGCUCACUGGACCGCAACUGGACGCUGAGGCGCGAAAGCUAGGGGAGCAAACAGG